GGUCAUGAGAGCCAGCGACAAGCCCCGGCUAGCUGGACGGCAACCCUCCUCCGCGGUGGGGUGCCCCGGGUGAGGACCAGGCCGUGCGGACACCCCGUUCGGCAAGUGCGGACU
rnacentral:ncRNA from 2 species